rnacentral:rRNA from 1 species
UACGUAGGUGGCAAGCGUUAUCCGGAAUUAUUGGGCGUAAAGCGCGCGUAGGCGGUUUCUUAAGUCUGAUGUGAAAGUCCACGGCUCAACCGUGGAAGGUCAUUGGAAACUGGGGAACUUGAGUGCAGAAGAGGAGAGUGGAAUUCCAUGUGUAGCGGUGAAAUGCGCAGAGAUAUGGAGGAACACCAGUGGCGAAGGCGGCUCUCUGGUCUGUAACUGACGCUGAUGUGCGAAAGCGUGGGGAUCAAACAGG